rnacentral:lncRNA from 1 species
UGUUAUGUGUUUUUGUUGUUUAAAUGUUUGAAGUUGUAGUAUGUUAUGAUAUCUUUGAUCUGGAACUGGAAUCAGGCUUAGGAGAUGAGUAUAUUUUAUGUUAUUCAUGGUCAAACUCGGUUGACCAAGCAUGACCAGUAGAUUUCUGGGUAACCCAGAAAUCAUUUUCCAGUGUCUGACAAGAUUUUUAAGGCUUCCGAUUUGUCAGGUUUUUGUGGAUUUGUUAUUGUUCUUGCCUUCAUGUUGUAGUAUGUUAGAUGGACUCUAGAUCCAUGUCUUUAUACCCUUCAUAACAUAAAUAUAUCGAUCUGAGUGAGUGGUCAAAGUAGACCACUCGUCACCGAUUAAGCAUUUCUGGAAAACCCAGAAACCGGAUGCACAAGUUUUCUGACAGCCAUUGACCGAUCAAGAUCUUUCUAGUGUUUUGUUGUUAUGCUUAUGUGUUGUAUUAGAUCUGUACUAUUACAUACUAUCUACAAUCUAGAUGUCUUAAAUCACAUGAAAGUUACCAGUAUUGCAAGUUAUGGAGAUCUAAAGUAGGUACCUUGUACUGUUCUUCAUUUCUGGAAAACCCAGAAAUGAAGAACAACGUCUGACAAUGGUUUUGAGAGAUUAAAUCUCUUUGUUGUUUAAUGAUUUGACCAUGCAAUCCAUUUGUAGUUAUAGUGAUGCAUGAGUACUACAAUAUCUAAUCGAUCUCAAGCCCAGAAACAC